GCCUGGCUGGCUCAGUUGGUAGAGCAUGGGACUCUGGAUCUCGAGGUCGUGGGUUUGAGCCCCAUCUUGGGCC